rnacentral:rRNA from 1 species
GACGAACCGUGCGAACGUUGUUCGGAAUCACUGGGCUUAAAGGGCGCGUAGGCGGCUCGCGAGGUCGGGGGUGAAAUCCCACAGCUUAACUGUGGAAGUGCCUUCGAUACCGGCGGGCUGGAGGAAGGUAGGGGUGCGCGGAACUUCUGGUGGAGCGGUGAAAUGCGUUGAUAUCAGAAGGAACGCCGGCGGCGAAAGCGGCGCACUGGACCUUUUCUGACGCUGAGGCGCGAAAGCCAGGGGAGCAAACGGG